rnacentral:tRNA from 1 species
AUUAAGGUAGCAAAGCAAGGCUAUGCAACAGGCUUAAAACCUCUACACGGAUGUUCAAAUCACCCCCUUAAUA